rnacentral:lncRNA from 1 species
UAUAAGAGCACAAAGCUUCACUACCUAUUUAUUGCUCCUCUUCCUGUCGUUUGAAAGAUAGAAGUAUGACUAGGCCUAAUGUACAUGUUUUAAUCUUCCUGGUAGCCAUCUCCAUUUUUAUAUGUGCGGCUUCCUUAAAGACGCCAAAGUGUUAUGGACAUUGUGGCCCCUCCGGCAUGACGUGCCGUACUGGUUGUAAAUGUACAAUGACUAUGAAUUCCGCUAAAACAAGAGAAGGGGUAUGCCAGGAUAGUUCUGCAGUCAGAAGCCGAAGUCGAAGUCGAAGUCCAGGCCGAAGCCAAAGCCCAAGCCGAGGCAAAUAAACACGUGGAAUGUGGAAAUUGCUCAGAUA